UUAAGCAUAUUAAUGAGGGAAGGAAAAGAAAUUAAAUAAGAUUCCUUUAGUAGCGGCGAGCGAAACAGGAUUAGCCCAGCACUAAGUCAUCCAAUUUCUUCUAAUUGGUAUGAGAUGCAGUGUAUGGAAAGUCUAUUAUCUAUUGUAACAAACAAUGCGUUCAAGUCCAUCUUGAAUGGGGCCAAUAUAUCCAUAGAGGGUGCCAGGCCCGUAGUAACCAUUGUUUUGCAUUAGAAGGCUUUUCCAAAGAGUCGUGUUGCUUGAUAGUGCAGCACUAAGUGGGUGGUAAACUCCAUCUAAGGCUAAAUAUGACCACGAAACCGAUAGCGAACAAGUACCGUGAGGGAAAGUUGAAAAGUACUCUGAAUAGAGAGUUAAAUAGUACGUGAAACCGCUUAGGGGUUAAGCCCGAUGAACCCGAAUAUCUGAUGUGAGAAAUUCAAUACUGUUCAUACAACGGAUAGUAUGCACUUUUCUCAUAGUAAGACAUUGUAAUCCAUUGAUACUAUAUCUCUUUCACAUACGGGAGAGAUGAUUUAACAUACGGACAAAAUGUAUAAGAUUAUUCUAUCAGUGAUGUGUUUACAUGUCAUAUGAAUAAGAUCGUUUUGUACCUGUUUAAAUAGUCGAUGGAUUUUAACUGAAUCAUGCUUGCAAUUCAUUUUGCGUUUCGUGUUAUCGGCCAUUCGGUUGGUAAUAGCAGAAAUGGCAUGCAUUCGAUUAACAAUGCGAUAGAUUUGGGAUGCCUUCGGGACCCGUCUUGAAACACGGACCAAGGAGUCUAACAUAUGUGCAAGUCAUUGAGUAUUUUGUUGAAACUUAAUGGCGUAAUUAAAAUGACUAUAUUUUUAAUUUGGGAUCACAAGUAAUGUUCAAAUUUAUGCAUUAUUUUUCAAUCCCGGGGCGUUCUAUACGAACAUGAUGUAAGCAAUUAUGUCCUCUGUUCAAGAGCGUACCUUGAGCACAUAUGCUGUGACCCGAAAGAUGGUGAACUAUACCUGAUCAGGUUGAAGUCAGGGGAAACCCUGAUGGAAGACCGAAGCAGUUCUGACGUGCAAAUCGAUUGUCAGAAUUGGGUAUAGGGGCGAAAGACCAAUCGAACCAUCUAGUAGCUGGUUCCCUCCGAAGUUUCCCUCAGGAUAGCUGGUGCAAUUAGAUAUCAUAUAUAUAAUCUUAUCUGGUAAAGCGAAUGAUUAGAGGCAUUGGGGCCGAAACGACCUCAACCUAUUCUCAAACUUUAAAUGGGUAAGAACCUCAUCUUUCUUGAUCUGAAGAUUUUGGGGUUUAGAUAUAUUGUGCCCAGUGGGCCACUUUUGGUAAGCAGAACUGGCGCUGUGGGAUGAACCAAACGUGAUGUUACGACGCCUAAAUUAAUGACUCAUGUUGAUACCAUGAAAGGCGUUGGUUGCUUAAAACAGCAGGACGGUGGACAUGGAAGUCGUAAUCCGCUAAGGAGUGUGUAACAACUCACCUGCCGAAGCAACUAGCCCUUAAAAUGGAUGGCGCUUAAGUCAUAUGUCUAUACAUCACCGCUAGAAUAAAAGGAUUUCAUCAGCAAUGGUGAAAUUUAUGAAAUUCUAGUGAGUAGGAGGGUACAAUGGUGUGCGCAGAAGUGCUUGGCGUGAGCCUGCAUGGAGCCGCCAUUGGCACAGAUCUUGGUGGUAGUAGCAAAUAAUCGAAUGAGAUCUUGGAGGACUGAAGUGGAGAAGGGUUUCGUGUGAACAGUGGUUGAUCACGAGUUAGUCGGUCCUAAGCCCUAUGCGAAAGCUGUUUAAAUUAUGUUAUUAACGAAAACACAUUUGUUAAGCUAUAAGCACAUAAUCUAAAUCGGGCGAAAGGGAAUACGGUUCCAAUUCCGUAACCUGUUGAGUAUACGUUUGUUUACUAAAAGUGGGUCUUAUUACACUCAUCCUGGCAACAGGAACAACCAUAGAGAAGCCUUCGAGAGGUAUUGGAAGAGUUUUCUUUUCUGUUGAACAAUCGUAUAACCAUGGAAGUCUUUCACAGAGAGAUAUGGUUAAUGGGUUGGAAGAACAUGACAUUUACUGUUGUGUCAAUAUUUUCUCCUUGGACCUUGAAAAUCUAUGGUGGGGCCACGCAAAUUUCUCAACAGACCGUACCGAUAUCCGCAGCCGGUCUCCAAGGUGAAGAGUCUCUAGUCGAUAGAAUAAUGUAGGUAAGGGAAGUCGGCAAAUUAGAUCCGUAACUUCGGGAUAAGGAUUGGCUCUGAAGAUUGAGAUAGUCGGGCUUGAUUGGGAAAUAAUUAUAACGGUUUAUGUACUCGUUCUGGGUAAAUUAGAGUCUUCGACUUGUUCCCCGGAUAGUAGAUUUCAUAGCCAAAUUAUGGAACGGUCUUGCUGUGCUGCUAUUUGGGAUUUGCGUUCCAUUUAGCGAAAACGAUUAUCAUAAACAAUUAAUUCAGAACUGGCACGGACCUGGGGAAUCCGACUGUCUAAUUAAAACAAAGCAUUGUGAUGGCCCUAACGGGUGUUGACACAAU
rnacentral:rRNA from 1 species